CUAACAAGGUUUCCGUAGGUGAACCUGCGGAAGGAUCAUUAACGAAUAACUAUGGCGUUGGUUGUAGCUGGCUCCUCGGAGCAAUGUGCACGCCCGCCAUUUUUAUCUUUCCACCUGUGCACCGACUGUAGGUCUGGAUACCUCUCGCCUCCGGGCGGAUGCGAGGGUUGCUCGUAAGGGCUUCCCUUGAACUUCCAGGCUCUACGUCUUUUUACACACCCCAAUAGUAUGAUGCAGAAUGUAGUCAAUGGGCUUCUCAGCCUAUAAAACACUAUACAACUUUCAGCAACGGAUCUCUUGGCUCUCGCAUCGAUGAAGAACGCAGCGAAAUGCGAUAAGUAAUGUGAAUUGCAGAAUUCAGUGAAUCAUCGAAUCUUUGAACGCACCUUGCGCUCCUUGGUAUUCCGAGGAGCAUGCCUGUUUGAGUGUCAUUAAAUUCUCAACCUCACCAGUUUUCUGAACUGACUGAGGCUUGGAUGUGGGGGUUUGUGCAGGCUGCCUCACCGGCGGUCUGCUCCCCUGAAAUGCAUUAGCGAGGUUCAUGCUGGACCUCCGUCUAUUGGUGUGAUAAUUAUCUACGCCGUGGACGAGGAUACAGACUCGCUUCUAACCGUCCGCGAGGACAAUACCUUGACAAUUUGACCUCAAAUCAGGUAGGACUACCCGCUGAACUUAAGCAUAUCAA
rnacentral:rRNA from 1 species